CGACCCUAGGUCAGACGGGAUUACCCGCUAAGUUUAAGCAUAUCAAUAAGCGGAGGAAAAGAAACUUACUAGGAUUCCCCUAGUAACGGUGAGCAAACCGGGAAAAGCCCAGCUUGAGAAUCGGUCGCCAUCAGCAUCGAAUUGUAGUCUGGAGAAGCGUCCUCAGCGGCGGACCAGGCCCAAGUCCCCUGGAAAGGGGCGCCGGAGAGGGUGAGAGCCCCGUCGGGCCCGGACCCUGUUGCACCAAGAGGCGCUGUCUACGAGUCGAGUUGUUUGGGAAUGCAGCCCUAAUCGGGCGGUAAAUUUCGUCCAAGGCUAAAUACGGGCGAGAGACUGAUAGCGAACAAGUACCGCAAGGGAAAGAUGAAAAGGACUUUGAAAAGAGAGUCAAAGAGUGCUUGAAAUUGUCGGGAGGGAAGCGGAUGGGGGCCGGCGACGCGUCGGUGUCGUAGGUGCAGCGACCGCGGCGGACAAGUUGCGGGCACCUCCCUGGAGCGUAAUUCCCACCGAGCGGCGGGUAGAAUCCUUUGCAGACGACUUAAAUAUGCGACAGGGUAUUGUAAGUGGCAGAGUGGCCUUGCUGCCACGAUCCACUGAGAUUCAGCCCUUUGUCGCUUCGAUUCGU
rfam:Gossypium raimondii Chr09_contig_1029, whole genome shotgun sequence.